ensembl:lncRNA
UGAUGACGUGGCAUUUUCAAAGCAGGUGCCUUUGGGCAGGUGGGCUGGCCACACACUGGCUGACGCAGCGUGGCCUCUGCCCAGCUGUCUCCUGUUUCCCCGGUUCCUCGGGGACUGGAUGAGGGCGGAAUCGAGAAUUCUCCCAAGCGUGUCUCAGCUGAUUCUGGAGAUCGGACUUUGUGUGGCACCAAUGAACCAAAAAAAGAAAUGCUAUUUUGAUUUGGUCACUUAUUGGCAUGGGGUUUUAUUUUUGCCACUUUGUGGUGAACGAGACCCACUGGUGUGUACUCACUGGGGCCCCUGAAACCCACUGUGCCCUGACAUGUGGACAGAUGGGAGCAGCUGACUGCACAGAGCCCAGACUUUUGUUUCCAGUGGGAUGAAGUCACCACGAAUAGGCACACCAUGCCAGUUGGUCGUAGCUAACAUUAUACGAUGUUUAAAGCAAGUUCCGAGUGUGCAGAGGGUGGUAUGACAUCAUGUUCACAACAGUUGGUGAUGUCGUCAGGUAGAAGAUGCUCUUACUGUCUUCGGGUUGUUUGCCCGGCAGCAGGGGUGAUGUCCUGGGAGUGGAGUCAGUCUGUGGUCCAGCAGGAAGCCCCGUGGGUGCUGGCGCCCCUCCGUGCUCCCGAUCCGGUCACCGCGGCGCCGGGUCAGCCAGUGGUCCUCACCUGACCAGCUAGACACAGGCCUUCCCUCUGUCAGGAGGCCCGGGAAGAACUCGUCAGUUUGCUGACUUCUGGUUAAAUUCAGUGCCACACGAAGGAUCUUACUCGCGAUCUGUGUUUUCCAACUGGGGCUAGCUGGUCUUCUCCCAGGGGCUUGGCAGGUGAGACACGCUUCUGCCAUCUUGAGGCCACGGUAACACUCCCAGUUCUUCACAACCUUUGCCCCUGCCCUCCCAUCACGCCUGCAGCUCAGGGCGCCCAGGACCUCGGACAAACUCCGCCGUGGACGACGUGCUCGCUCAGCGGAACAGAAGCAGCUCCCCAGGGGUGAACUGUAACGCACACCAGCCGGCAAACUCGGGGCAUCUGUGCAGAAGCCAGCGUCGGGUGGCGAUGUCGUGUUGGGGAAAUGAUGCCCGUCUGGCUCUCGUUGGCUUCUUCCUCCAAUUAUCCCGGAGGAGACCUCCUAGGAAAGGUGGAAGGCGUGCACGGGAACCCAGGCAGCUUCCUGAUCUUAUAAUCCCAGGCAAACAAUUCCUCAUCGAUACUGGCAACGAAGGCAGAAUCCCCGUUUGGCCCAUGUCACUUUCAGAAGUCCCCAAGCCCACGGGCUCCACUCGCUGACGGUGUCUGCCUGGCAGGGACUCAUAAACUUAGAUGAGACACUGGAGCCCCGGGGGACACGCUUACAACGAAGUGAGAGUGUCCUCUGUUCCCGGGGAAGUUUAGAAACCACCGGUGUUUUCUCUGCUCACAUCACGGCACAGAGCGCCUGCGAUCUCGCGUAGGCAUAAGAUCUUGCCUGCUCCGUGGACGGGGGCUCCAGAGACCCCAGUGUCCCACGCACGGUGCUUCUCACGGAGAGAGGACGCUUCACGGUGGGAGAGCGCCCGGAGGCACCGACUGACGAGGCUGACAGGCCUCGGGCACUGCAGGUCUGGACCUCCAGCACCAGGCCUGCUGCCCACGGCCCCCACGCACUCGCGGCCC